CGUGCCUGAUACAUGCAAGUCGAACGGUCUUUCUAUGGAAGCUUGCUUCCACUGAGAAGAUAGUGGCGAACGGGUGAGUAACACGUGGGUAACCUGCCCAUAAGAGGGGGAUAACAUCCGGAAACGGGUGCUAAUACCGCAUAGUUUUCUUGAUCGCAUGAUCGGGAAAGGAAAGACGGCCUUUGUGCUGUCGCUUAUGGAUGGACCCGCGGCGUAUUAGUUAGUUGGUGAGGUAAUGGCUCACCAAGACGAUGAUACGUAGCCGACCUGAGAGGGUGAUCGGCCACAUUGGGACUGAGACACGGCCCAAACUCCUACGGGAGGCAGCAGUAGGGAAUCUUCCGCAAUGGACGAAAGUCUGACGGAGCAACGCCGCGUGAGUGAAGAAAGGUUUUCGGAUCGUAAAACUCUGUUGUCAGAGAAGAACAAGUUGGAGAGUAACUGCUCCAGCCUUGACGGUAUCUGACCAGAAAGCCACGGCUAACUACGUGCCAGCAGCCGC
rnacentral:rRNA from 1 species